AAAAUUUAAAUUUAAAAUACUAAAAUAGUAAAUAAAUAUUUAUUGAAACUUAAAUAAUUUGGCGGUAUUUUAGUUCAUUUAGAGGAAUCUGUUUAAUAAUUGAUAUUCCACGAAUAAAUUUACUUAAUUUAUAAUUUUGUAUAUCGUUGUUGAAAAAAUAUUUUUAAAAAAAAUUAAUAUUUUAAAAUUAAUAAUUAAAAUUAAAUCAGAUCAAGAUGCAGAUUAUAAUUAAGAAUAUAAUGGAUUACAAUAAAUUUAUUUAAAUGGAUUUUAAUUUGUAAAAAUUAAUUGAAGGUGGAUUUAAAUGUAAUUUUAUUUAAUUUAAUAAAAUGAUUAAAAAUUAAAAUAUGU
rnacentral:rRNA from 1 species